rfam:Ovis aries breed Texel chromosome 1, whole genome shotgun sequence.
UCCCGUGUAGCUCAGUCGGUAUAGAAUCUGCCUGCAGUGCAGGACACCCAGGUUGGAUCCCUGGGUUGGGAA